ensembl:lncRNA
CACAGGUGAAAGAGUUUGAGUGCACAGGUGUGCGUGCGUGUGAGCGUGCGUGCGUGCGUGCGAGAAGGUCAGAGUGCGCCGCGUGUCCGUAAGUGAAAGUGCGCGUUUUUGUGUUCAGAUGGAGGACGCCCCCAGCUCCCAGAAGAGCGGGCGACUUUCUUCCUCUCACGACUUGGGGAGAGGAGGAGGAGGACCGUUUCCGACGUGGACAGGUUUCGACGUCUUAGGGGUCCAGGUAAAGGCGAUUCAAUUAUGGGAUAUGAGGCUGGUCAGGAAGCAUGAGAGCCUGCACCAUCCUGCAGGCCACAGAGACCUUCGGUGGACAGUUCUGAAUGGGAUAAAGCCUGCAGGCCAGUACUCCCAUGAGAGCUCUUCUCCCACAGGUGAGAUCUGCCUGGCAUGUCAACCAUCCAGGAGGACAGUCUGCAACACGUAUCACCUGAGGUGAGGGUGGAGGUGAGGUUCAGUGGCUAAAAGAACAGCUUUCUGAGGAGUUCCCAUCGUGGCGCAGUGGAAACGAAUCCAACUAGGAACGAUGAGGUUGCUGGUUUGAUCCCUGGCCUCGCUCAGUGGGUUAAGGAUCUGGUGUUGCUGUGGCUGUGGUGUAGGCCAGCAGCUGUAGUUCCGAUUUGACCCAUAGCCUGGGAACAUCUAUAUGCCGCGCGUGUGGCCCUAAAAAGACAAAAGACAAAAAAUAACAAAACAAACAAACAAAAAACAGCUGUUUGAGACAGCCAUGCUCAAGGCUGGGGGGAUGGCACAGAGAGGGUGCAGUCCUGGGAAGGGGAGGGUAAGGUGAGGCAGGUCAGAGAAGGUCAAGGCAGCCUGUGGCCCCCACUCCCGGGUCUAAGACCCAGCCCCUACAUUUACCAGGCUCUGGGCUGCCAGUGAGGAGCUAAGGUGGCCGCAGACAAUACCUUGCCCAGAGCUGUGGCCUGGGGUGGGAGGGAAGCCUAGUUCCUUCCAGCACAAAGUGUUCAGGAAGAACUCAGCCUAGGUCCAGCCAGGCCUUUUCGAGGUGCAAUCGACCUGAUAGCCAGGCUAAUGGGACCCUCUGGGCAUCAAGUCCAGGGCGGGGUUGCCUGUAAGCAAGAGUCUCAGGCGCUUCGUCAGCAGGCUGCCUCAUGCAAUAUGUAACAGUGCAUUAACCUGCACUCCCAGGAUGGAGCCAGUGCGGCAGAAUCUGCUGCUACUUGGAAGAAGAGGCACAAGAAUGGGCCUAGGUGGUUCCACGCAGUACCAGGAGGGGGGCAGGAGGUCUGGAUACCACAGCAGAGCCUGUAGGUCCUUUCCUUCCUGCUGCACCCCCCCACCCCCUGCUUCCAUUUG